rnacentral:lncRNA from 1 species
CUGGACUUCUGCAGGGAGCAAAUCCCUUCACCUGCCCCUGCUUCAGCUUCCGAGUGAGCAAACCAGGGUGCUCCAAAUUAACCACCCUGGUAAAACACUUGGGAAUCUAGAACUGAGGACUGUAAAAGAGCUGGAGGUACUGCAGGGGUUUGGAAGCUGGAAGCUGUAAUUGUUUGUGACCCAAAGCUCAGAGCUGCACACACAGGUUGGGUUCCCGUGCUGGGAACUCUCCAGCCUCGGGCAGAGAACUCGUUCCUCUUCGGAUGGGAGCAGCAAGAGGACUCACAAAGAAGCAGGGAAGGAAAAACGCUCAGAAGUCCGGUCUGAAAACAAGGAAACAGCACUGUCAGCUCAUUGUUCUCCUCGGCUGUGUGCAGCCCAGCCCCUCGGGUUCCCUGCCGGGGUGUCACUGCCCCCGCUGCUGGCGCUGGCGGGGAUGAGGGGCAGGAUGAGAUGACAGGACUCAACUCUGCUGAAAUAUUUGGAGACCGAGAGACUCUCCCUUCUGCUCCCUGCCCAGCAGAGCAUCCGGAGAGGCCUCGGCUGGCCCCGGGCAGGAAAAGGAUCUGCCUCUCUCAGGAGCCUCCUGCUCUGCUGCAGCCUGACCACAAACACGGAGCACGGGCGGGCAGGGGGAGCCCUCUGCAGCAUCUGUUUCCUAUUCAAACCGGCACCAAAAAAACCCUUGGGACCACCCCCCCAUCCCCCAAAAAUUCAGUGGGGGUCUUCCACAUGGAACCAGAACGAAUUCCCAGCCGGGGCUGCCCAGGGGAGCAGCACCCACAGCUCGCUCAGAACCCGAGGUACCCGGUGAAUGAACCCAACUCUGGGCACAAACACAGCAGUCAAACAGGAGCCAAGAGCCUCGACUCACUGUUCAGCCCACCCAAGAAGCCCAUCUCUGUCCCCUCAGCACCUCCAGGGUCUCUCCUCCCCUGGAUGUGCCCAUCCUGCCAUCACACAGCUCAUGCUGGAAGCUGCACCUCGCUUCUCCACACAAACAGCUUUGCAAGCAGAGUUGUCUCCCGGGCUGAGUUAUCAUACUUCCCCCAGAUACAGGCCUGCUUAAUAACUGACAACUUUUUAAACUUUACUGGAAUAUUGUAUGGAUUCCUCUGGUGCACUGAAGGAACUCAACCCUGCUCUCAGUGCUUGGAUGGGAGCUGGAAGACGAGUGCUGUGUGUGGGGCAGAGCCAGCUCCCAGCAAACUCUCAUUCCUGCUGGAAGGUCACACAUUUCUUUAAAGAUUGCCUCUUCCUGCAGCUCUGGGGAACAGUUCUCAGCCAUGCAAAAAGUGGAUGUUUAAAAAGGACACCAAGCCUCCGAGUCACCAAAUGCUGGGGUUUGCCAGCAGCUCCCGUGGUACCUGCACAGCCCAUCCUGUCUGCUGGGAGUGCCAGACGCUGACACAGCCACACCUGAAGGUGCUGUCACCCACAAAAGAAACCCCGAGGGUGAUUUGCUGUCUCUGCAGAAGGCUGGGCUUGGGACAGAGCGUGGGGCUCUGCCCUGCAAACCCAGCAGCCCUGGCCCAGCACAGCUCACGGCGACGUCAGAGCUGCUGCCGAAAACCAAACGCAUCAGUAUUCCUCUCCCUGGGCAAUUCUGACAUGUUUUGAAGUGAGCUGAGAAGUUUUUACAUUCAUAGUUGCUAUUCAGUAUUUUGAGUCGAAAUAUUAAUUUUUUUCACAUUGAGUAGUGUUAAACCCAAAGUGCUGGAGCAUGGCAGUGCUUCAAGCUGCUAGCAACAUUCUACUCUGAAAUGUACCCAUAAAUAGGAAAGACUGGAUAAAUUAUACUGCACAGCUCCAUAAAACUGACAUAAACCCAUAAGCAAAACCAACAGGGAAGAAAACCUCUCCUCAACAAAGCUCAUCUGAGUCCUUUAAUUCUCAUCUCCAAGUCUUUCCUUGUUUAACCCUGGUUUUAAAAGACCUUUGAAAGUUUACCCUUUCCCCUCUCCCCUUUCUUAAAAUAGUUUCAGUUCCAUGAAGUUUUGCAGAGUGAGUGACAGAAUUUUUCCUCUCUCAUUGCAUUAAUUCCCCUGCUACUGAAAAGUUAUGGCAAUCCUGGGAUUCAGCCUGGAUUCAGCCCUGGGGUUCAGCCUGGAUUCAGCCCUGGGGUUCAGCCUGGAUUCAGCCCUGGGGUUCAGCCUGGAUUCAGCCCUGGGAUUCAGGUGGGGAAACAGCAGUGGGGCAGCAGGAGCCAGUGCUCAGGGCUGGAGCUGACCCACAGAGGGACUGU